GGAGUGAAGCAGCUGCUUGAUCUUGUGAAGAGUCCAGACUGUAGACUGGAGACUCUGAGGUGGGAGUCGAGGUAAACAGGACUGUAUGUGUGCUGAGAGAGGAUGAGCUGAGUCCUGAUGAUCCAGAAGUUGAAUCAGCAGCAGCUUGUGUGUAGAGAGACUCUGACUGGACCAUAUUACUGGGAGGUGGAAUCAAGAGGAGAGCUUCAUCCACAUGUUUUUCAUUUAAAAUCAUCAACAGAUUUGCAAUCAAUCUAUUCUAACAGUACCAACAAAUAAAGUCCAGUUCCUCUUGAAUUAUUCAGAAGCAUUAAGAACUAAAUAUUUUAUGUAGAUGUAAAAUUUCUCACAUAAGUAAUCCCGUUGUUUCUUGUUGCUGAUUGUGUAUAGAUUUGUCCCAUCUGUAUUGUGAUUUGUAUUAUGUGGUCAUUUUACAGUGUAUCUUUGUCAUUUGGUUGUAAAGUAAAAUCUCUCCUGGUUGUAUUUUCUUA